GACGAACGCUGGCGGCGCGCCUAAUACAUGCAAGUCGAGCGAGAACCAGGGCUUGCCCUGGGGAGAGCGGCGAACGGGUGCGUAUCACGUGAGCAACCUGCCUCAGAGACCGGAAUAACUCGAGGAAACUCGGGCUAAUGCCGGAUACCCUCGAUGGACCGCAUGGUCCUGCGAGGAAAUGGAUUCCGCUCUGAGAUGGGCUCGCGGCCUAUCAGCUUGUUGGUGGGUAACGGCCGUACCAAGGCAACGACGGGUAGCUGGUCUGAGAGGACGAUCAGCCACACUGGGACUGAGACACGGCCCAGACUCCUACGGA
rnacentral:rRNA from 1 species